rnacentral:tRNA from 1 species
GCCUCGAUAGCUCAGUAGGGAGAGCGUUAGACUGAAGAUCUAAAUGUUGCCGGUUCAAUCCCGGCUCGAGGCA